rnacentral:lncRNA from 1 species
GAAGCUGUCUAUUUGGGUGACAUCAUCACUGGAGAGCAGGCUGCCCUGGCAGAAAAGACGAAGGAUAUACCAGUCCCAGUCUGACUUACCUCCAGAAGUGAUAGAAAAGUAGAGGGACAUUCAGCCCCAGCGUGAGCCACUCUUGCGCACACAGGAACAUAAUGCAGAAGAGGCUAUGGAUGGAGUAUUCUGGCAGCACCAGCUGAAGAGGGAGCAGAGACACGGCCCUGAGUUAGAGGAGGAAAACGCCACUCCUGCUUCUAUGGCAGCUGACUUCUGCCUGGACACUGCCUCUCACAGACGGUUGACACAAAGGCCCUCCCUGCAGCAACGUAGAGCCACUGCCCCAACACAGAUCCAUUUCUGAUACGCAUCAAGAGCCUACUAUGAGGUGUCAAACACUGUGGCAGGCACUGGAGGUGCCAGGAUGAGUUCAAUGAGCCUGGUGACAAUGUUCCAGGCACCCCCAGGCUGAUGGGAGAGACCGACAGCUGAACACUGGACCAUGCCGCAGCCAGCACUCACACACUGACUGAAGCUCUAGCGCUGGCUGGUCCCUUACAGGUGAGUACAGUUGGUCACAAAGGGUGUGGACAAAGAAGAAUCCAUGGAAAUUCAAACUCAACUCAACUCUCCAGGCUUUGAGCACCCAAUGCCCUGGAUUAAAUAUGGCAGGAGGCCCAGCAAAGACCUUACAAUAGAUCGGGAGAGAUAAACCGAAAACCUAAGUGACUAUAUAAUCCAAGGCUGAAUAUAGGGAGAAGCAAAAUAGAAGGAUAAGCAUAAUAGGGUCAAAGGAGGAGGGAGGCAGAUCAGCCAACACUAGCCCUUGCUGGGUGGAAGAGCUGAAACAUUCUAUUUUAAAAACACCCAGUUGAUCAUCAGAGAGCCAGAAUGAAACAACCACAUAAUAAGGCAGAUAUUGGAAAUUCUUAAAAUGAUGAGCGUCUUCCCAAACUGGAAAUAAUUGAUGAGGAAUAUUUUAAACCCUGGAAGCAAAGAGAUUUCAAGAGGAGAUGCAAUUUUAAAGACACUCAUCUAUGGAGUGCCCCAAAUGCACUAGGACUGCACAGGCUGUGUGGGGAACUCAAGGUUGAAAAAGAUAUAUCCUUGGCCCUCAGGAAGACUACAGCCAGUGUAAAGGGGACCAUAACGAUGUCUACAUCCCAGGGCUGUCGCGAGUGAGAUCAUCCAACCAAGCACUUUGUACAACGUCUGGCAUA